rnacentral:rRNA from 1 species
AGAGUUGUAUCCUGGCUCAGAACGAACGUUGGCGGCGUGGAUUAGGCAUGCAAGUCGAGCGGGAUUCUAUUUUUUCAAUUCUUCGGAAGAGAAGUUAUAGAUGAGAGCGGCGAACGGGUGAGUAAUACUUGGGUAAUUUGCCUCUUUGUUCGGGAUAGCCAUCGGAAACGAUGAUUAAUACCGGAUGUGUUCAGGUGCUGCAUGGCACCUUAUAUAAAGGCGGGGAUCUUCGGACCUGUCGCAAGGAGAUAAGCCCAAGUCCUAUCAGCUUGUUGGUGAGGUAACGGCUCACCAAGGCUUACGGGUAGCUGGUCUGAGAGGAUGGUCAGCCACACUGGGACUGAGACACUGCCCAGACUCCUACGGGAGGCUGCAGUCGAGAAUCAUUGUCAAUGCACGAAAGUGUGAACAUGCGACGCCGCGUGGAGGAAGACGGCCUUUGGGUUGUAAACUCCUGUCAGCAGGGAGGAAUUACGGAAUUGCUAAUAUCAGCUCCGUUUGACAGUACCUGCAGAGGAAGUCACGGCUAACUCUGUGCCAGCAGCCGCGGUAAUACAGAGGUGGCGAACGUUGUUCGGAUUUACUGGGCGUAAAGGGUCCGCAGGCGGUCCUGUAUGUCGGGUGUGAAAGCUCACGGCUCAACCGUGGAAUUGCACUCGAAACUGCAGGACUAGAGUACUG